GAACCUACCGGUGCGCGGCCGGUAGGAGGGCAGAAGGGUACACCUAUUCUGAGUCGAGAUGGGGUUCGUCUUGGAUCUUGCGGGUAAGGAGGGGAGCGGAGUAGGAGAAGUAAAUAACCAUCGGUGGCUCUCGACGGCGGCGGCGUGCGGUAGCUAGAGCGCGAAGCUUCGGCGGAGCGCGACGUUCGACUACAGGUCCUCCUAGCGGCACGAUCUGAUGUAGUGGAUGUGGCUGCUUGCGUUCGGGUUGCGGUUGUGGAGCAGCCCUAGCUGGGGAAGAAGUUGGAGACCGGUGGCUCGAGGCGGCGCAGCUAGAUGACGGGACGACGAUGAUUCGAGGGCGGCUCGGCAGCACGCGAGGAGACUGGGGCUCCGGCUACUACGGGGCCACUAGCUGAUGCAGCUAUCGUUGUGAAGAAGGAAAAGUCGUCUCGAAGGUCUACAGCCUCGGAUCCUCGGUAUACGGUGGCGGUUACGGAUGAUGAUGUACCUCUGGCAGCUGCUGGUCCUCAUUAAUCCUCCGAGGGUUCGUCCUCCGGAACGGAAAAGCUAGCUACAACUAAAACACGAUCGGAAGAAUUCCGUUUGAACAAAUUGAGUACAGACAUGAGUCUAUUACAACGAAGGCGACGGAGAACACAUAAGCUCGAAUACAUAAGCUCGGGAGCUCCGGGGACCGAACAUUAUAUUUCGAACAUAAUAAAAU
rnacentral:rRNA from 1 species